rnacentral:antisense_RNA from 1 species
UGUUUCGGCGGCUGUACGCGGGGCAUUUCGGUGCGCCGGGUCCUUAGCCCUGGUCUUCCACACCUGCGUACAGCUGCCACCCUC